UGCAAUACUCCCGUUUGCUGCCAGACUAAUAACAUGGUUUAAUCAAUGUUUGUCUUCACCUGUAGCUUCGUGGUCACCGGCUAGUCUACUCCUGCUGCCCGUGUGUUAGACACCAUCCCUUAUUCAUUCUACAGCUGAACGUGGGUGAGUGCUCCCCAUACGGCGCUUUGUGCACUAAUCGUAGUUACGAACAUAGAUGUGGGGCCCUCUUUGAGGGAGGCUAGUCACCUGGUGGUGGG